rnacentral:rRNA from 1 species
UACAGAGGUCUCAAGCGUUGUUCGGAUUCAUUGGGCGUAAAGGGUGUGUAGGUGGCGCCGUAAGUCGGGUGUGAAAUUUCGGAGCUUAACUCCGAAACUGCAUUCGAUACUGCGGUGCUUGAGGACUGGAGAGGAGACUGGAAUUCAUGGUGUAGCAGUGAAAUGCGUAGAGAUCAUGAGGAAGACCAGUGGCGAAGGCGGAUCUCUGGGCCUUACCUGACGCUCAGGCACGAAAGCUAGGGGAGCGAACAGG